AGAAUUUAGCAGAGAUGCUUUAGUGCCUUCGGGAACUCUGAGACAGGUGCUGCAUAGCUGUCGUCAGCUCGUGUUGUGAAAUGUUGGGUUAAGUCCCGNAACGAGCGCAACCCUUAUCCUUUGUUGCCAGCACGUAAUGGUGGGAACUCAAAGGAGACUGCCGGUGAUAAACCGGAGGAAGGUGGGGAUGACGUCAAGUCAUCAUGGCCCUUACGAGUAGGGCUACACACGUGCUACAAUGGCGCAUACAAAGAGAAGCGACCUCGCGAGAGCAAGCGGACCUCAUAAAGUGCGUCGUAGUCCGGAUUGGAGUCUGCAACUCGACUCCAUGAAGUCGGAAUCGCUAGUAAUCGUAAAUCAGAAUGUUACGGUGAAUACGUUCCCGGGCCUUGUACACACCGCCCGUCACACCAUGGGAGUGGGUUGCAAAAGAAGUAGAUAGCUUAACCUUCGGGAGGGCGUUUACCACUUUGUGAUUCAUGACUGGGGUGAAGUCGUAACAAGGUAAGCGUAGUGCU
rnacentral:rRNA from 1 species